CUAGUGCAGACAGGCAGUUCUGAUUAUGUAUGCAAAUACAGGUCUGGCCCUGAAGCUUAUUUGAGAGCCACACAGCUCAGCUAAGCCACCCUGGAGAAAGAAUCUUACAAAGAAUACUAAAGAGCAUCCAAGUGUGAAGAAUGAAACACACAAUGCACAUGAAGUCCAGCCAUGGUGUAGCCAAGGAGACCCACUAAGACCACCAAAAGCUUGGAAAUGAGGAUGCAGGGGCAAAGGACGGCAUUAUAGGCGCCCUGACUCCAGCUUGGGAGUGGGGUGUCCAGGGACCCUCCAGGAUCGAUGACAACAGACUGAGGGGCAGCUGCAAAACAACUGGAACAAAUCAAACCAAGGCCAAACGUUAACUGCCUCUGGCAACUUCUCCUCUUUCUUCGCCUCUCUCCCAGGACCCAGAAAGGCUAAAGGUUCAGGUCAUAAAAUCCAAACUCCCCGACCCACAAAUCAUCAUUUCCAGCCUGAGGGAGACACCCAACCCUGCCAAGGUCUUCAAGGACACACAUUAGUCAUCGGAUCAGCCCUGCCCAUCCCACCUCCAAGGCCCUUUCAUUUCCACACUCCUCAGAUUGUUCCAUGAGUGGUAGCCAAAUAAAAAGUCCAGGAGGUUCUAAGGGAGCCCUGGGUCUUACCUGGAAUUGUGUGUUACUGGCAACUAAUUCCUGUGGACCGACCCAGGGGAGCUAAGGUUGUCUUUUAGCCCCCCCAUGCAGAGGCCAGAAGACCUCACACUUUUACCAGCCACAAGCCAGAGAUCCCUGCUGUGAGCAGAUGGAGCCUGAGCCACGACCUGCACACGUGUCCUGAAUGAGAUUUGUUCUCCCAGGAGAAACUGCUCUUUCAAAAGGCUUGUCUUUCUCUCUUUAAUGAAAACCUAUAUUCAAACAUGGGACUUGAUAUCACAGACACAUUGUGAAGGGCUCUUUGGUUUUGCAAAAUAUUUGCCAAAGAGCUCUUUGGGAUUGUGAGGCACCCCACUCCAGCCGAGAGAAGGCAGUAGAAGGCAGAAGUUAAGACUAUAGACUGAAGGGACUAACAGCCUUAAGAUCAUUCCUGGCAUUACCACUGACCAACUGCGUGACCUUAAACAAGUUAUCUCGCCUCUCUGUGACUCAGUUUCCACAUCAGUAAAAUAGGGGCACUGAUUGCAACUACCUAUUAAGGUUGAUGUGAGGACUAAAUGAGAUAAUUCAGGCAGAGAAUUUGGCACAGAGUAAGCUUUCAAAAAGGUUAGCUAUUACUUGAAAUGUGAUUGUUAAAGCCAGCUAUCAAUCUACACUCAGUUUGGGGAAGGGAAAAAGGCCAGACAAACUGGUAACUUUUCAUGUUGAGGAAGAACUGAUUUAGCAUGAAAAGAUGCUGAGCAAAUGCUUUAUUUCAAGAUUUUUUCAUGGUGAACAUCUACUGUCCCCAAACCUCCUUUUAAUUUUGAUUAUUUUUUUAAAAAAGCAAAAAAAACAGGCAAAGUACCAGUCUCUUAAAUGUUGGCCAUUUGUGGGGAAAGAAAAAUAAAGGAAUUAGAUUACAAAUGUGUUGUUUUAUCUAUUGUUUCCAUUUCCUGAUUUCUCUCUGGGGUUCCCUGCCCCUACUCUUGGUCCUCUGGUUUGGAUGGGCUACUGAAAUGGUGUGCUGGAGUCCACUUCUAACUGUGACUUUUCUUCCCAGCUCCAUGUUCAGUAGCAUCAUGCUGGUAGCUUAAAAUCAGCCAUGGCGGGGGUAUUUACACCACCAAACUUGGCAAUCACUACAAAUGGGCAUCUCCUUUCCCCCAUGCCAGAGCUGGUUGUUAAACAUUUACCAGUAAAUUCAUGGGCUUACACUCCUCCUAUAGACAUGUGACCUAAGAAUGGCCAAUCAACAUAUUCUAACUGCCUGGCCUCAGUGAUUGGUUCAGAGAGGGAUACACGUUCAGAGCCAGACCAAUGAGAUCUUGGGAUAUUG
rnacentral:lncRNA from 10 species